UACGUAGGGUGCAAGCGUUGUCCGGAAUUAUUGGGCGUAAAGAGCUCGUAGGCGGUUUGUCGCGUCUGCUGUGAAAACCCGAGGCUCAACCUCGGGCCUGCAGUGGGUACGGGCAGACUAGAGUGCGGUAGGGGAGAUUGGAAUUCCUGGUGUAGCGGUGGAAUGCGCAGAUAUCAGGAGGAACACCGGUGGCGAAGGCGGGUCUCUGGGCCGAAACUGACGCUGAGGAGCGAAAGCGUGGGGAGCGAACAGG
rnacentral:rRNA from 1 species